CCUGUCAUCGUCUAGUGGUUAGGACACCAGGUUCUGAUUGAUCAUCCCGACACUUCCUGGUAACCCCGGUUCAAACCCGGGUGACAGGU
rfam:Puccinia triticina 1-1 BBBD Race 1 supercont2.1181, whole genome shotgun sequence.